UGUUGACUGAGAACAGCAACUGCAACCCCCGGCAGGGCCUCCUUCUCUCCCCCCCCCCACCUUUCUAGAAACGUGCCGCUUGCCGCUAACAGUUUCUUUUUCCUUCUUCCCUAUCUUAAUUUCUUUCUUUCUUUUUUCUUUUCGGUUUCUUAUCUUUCCCGCUGCAGCCCACGGUUUUAUUUUUAUUUUAUUUUUUUUGCUUUGGUUUUUGUAAGCAGCAUUUAGACGUCAAGCCCUCUGCGUUUUUAAAAGGUCUGGGCUGUUCAAAGGGGGCGAAAAAGAGCGAACGAGGGACGACGAAAACAGGCAACAAACCUUCAGAGAGGAUUGAAGGGCCAGCGCUGACGCGUUAAGCCGAAAUGACAGGAAAAGAUUUAGUUUGAAGACUACUUGCAAUUGUCUGCUUACCUGCUGAUAGCCUGCAAGGAAAAACAGCAUUUCUCAUAGAAGUAUUAAUGCGUCUAGCAACAUUUAUGAUCACCAGCUGCUCCUGAAUGUCUACAGUGGAGGCAAGAAGAGCAAAUGAUGGCAUAGGUUUAUUGUGCAGCAGAUCUCAUGGUAUCAUCACAGCUGUCAUCAUGCAAGAACUUAAUUGGGUCAUUUGCAGGAAGACAUCAGGGGACCCAAGUUAUAUUGGCACCGUGGCUUGUUUCAGAGGCCUGUGAUAUUCAGGCUUCUUUCUUUCUGAGUCUUUUCCAGCAGUCACUUUGCGUAGCAUUUUUUUCUGCCCUAAAUUAUUUGUUUAAAAAAGGAGAGCAAGGUGGAGAAAACGUAGGAUCUUUUACCUAUGUAGAGGCUUACAUAUUUGUAUCUGCAGUUUCUGUGAUUGAAUUAAAAUUAUUAGAGGAGAAUUUCCCUACCAGUCAGAACAUUUUAUUAAUUGCUGGAGGACCAUUGAAAACCUGGGUUUUUGGCAUGCCUAUUUGAAAUAGCCACAGAAAAAAUAAAAAUUAAAUCCUUGGUAGGUGGAAACAGUGUCAAGAAAAAAGCUAGUUUCUGCUGUUUUCAGUAACUUCUACAAUAUUUUUUUCUUUGAUAAGUAGAUUAUAAAUGUUAAAAAAACCUUCAGGCUUUAAAAGUGUCUGUUUUUAAUCUUCUAUCCAAGGUACUGGACUAUUGGCAGCAUCAUUUGACUUCUUAAAGACAAAGUCUUUUAUUUGUGACAAAUAAGCGAUAAAAAAAACCCUUUGUAUUAACAAAAAGCAUUUGUGCUAAAACUCCUGAUGGUGCUACAAAACUCUGGAUGUCCUUUUAGAGACAGAAAAUAUUUAUUUUGAUGGUUAGUGUUUUUUCCCCAAUCUUGAAAUAUUUUCUCUUGCCUAGGUCAGUCAUUGCUUUUUGUGUUUUUUUCUUUGUAAAUAAAUUGUUAUCCUUUUGAACUGUAAUUCUUGGGUGAGUUAAUCAUUUCCCUUUGCUGCUGUAAAGAUAAUGAAAACCUUUUUUUUGUGAAAAUUGGAGAAUGUGAGCUAAUUAGAUAAUUAAUCCCUAUUUGAAAGUUAGGAAGAUCAAUUGCAUAAAUCAGAAAAAGCUACAGUGCAUAUGUCUGCUAUACAUGUACCAUACUUUUCUGAAAACAUGUCUUAAAUCUGUUUUGAAACUUUUUGCCUCCAAAAGAAUUUAUAUAUCCAUAAGAACAUAGAAUUCCCAGAAAGACCAUUGGAAUCAAGUUUUACAAUGACAGAGAUUCAGGAAAUCUGCUGAUUGGGUAAUGCCUAUAUUUUCCAGAUUUAUUAUUUUUAACAAACAUUUCUUCAUGUGCUAAAGUUUUAUCAAAUUACAUUCUGGAAGACUGAGUUGGAAAAUUCCAUCAUCAGGUGCUUUAUCACUAUAUCUAAUAAGCAUUAUAAUAUAUAAAUAUUUAAUUAUAAAAUAUUAAAAGUAAUAGCUAGGUGAUAAUCAGGAGGAUUUCAUUAUGUGUCUCUCUCUAGCACUGGCCAAUAUGUUUCUGUAGACUUGGUGCUCACAGUUGUUAUGGAUGCUAUGACAUUCCAAAAUGACACCAAAGUAUCAGUUUACGUAGGGUAUCCAUCAUCUCAUCUGACAUAUUAAAUGAAACUUGAUUAUUUUUCUUUUAGUGACAAUAAUCCCAAAGUGGGAUAUUUAUAUUAUCAAAACAUGGAAGGUUUUCUCUAGUUCCUAGAAUAAAAUUUAGGACAUUUCCAAGGGAUUAUAAAUAAUAUUCAAAAGAAGUUAACAUACUAUUUCAGAAUAGGACUGGGAAAGAGUAGCAUAUAGUUCAAAAAUUAGAUAAUAUAUAAGAAGCAAGAAACAAGUGUAUUUUUUGGGGGGGGGGGUAGAGAACUGAUUCAUUUAAUUAAGUAGUAUAAUUUUUCUAAGAUCAUCUUUAGAUGUAGAAUCAUAGGCACACAAAUUAAAUGCAUUGAAAUGUUAUGAAAACAUCUGGUAUCAACAUGUAGAAAUGAAAAAAACGUAAUACAAAACAACUUCUUGUUGGGUAAAUGAUAGAUUGGAAGAAACUGUAAAAUCCAAUCUCAAUCAGUCUUCAGCCACUACACCCUUUUUAAUGAUUUUUUAAGAUCCUAGAAAGAGGUUCUGAGAAGAGAUCUACUUCAAGACUACACUGUAAUUGGUUUAAUAAAGAAAAACUGUAUCUAUAAAGCCUAUUUUCAAAACAUACAGACUUUAGUUAAUAUGACCUUGUAUUCAGACCCAGCACUUUUUGCAAUAUUAUUAAAUUGAUAAUUAUUUAAUUGCUAUUUAAUUGUUACUGUUGGAAGCAAAGAAAAAAAUGUUCAACUGUUAGUCUUGCUAAUACAAUUUAAAUAUGGGCGGAAUUCCAGAAAAAUUGGAGGAGAGCCAUCCUGCUCUUUUUGUGAAAAACCUAAUAUGUGAACUAUUAACUUUGCAAGGAAGGUUAUCGGCUAGUUAUCAAAAGAACGUACUGAGUUCCACCUCUCCUUUUCAAACAGUUCAGCUUUUCCAUUUAUUCUAAAGUUUCUCAUAUGUAUUGUAAGAUAAAACUGGGAGAAAUAGACUCUAAAGCUUUUAUUGGGAAAGAAUAAAAGUUCUAAAAUGUGUUCUUUCCUGAUUACACCAUGUAAGUUAAACAAGACAGAAAGAAUGGCUCAUGACGAGAUCUUCAGCAUUUCAGUAGUAGCCCAGCUGUGUAUAUAUGUAAAUUUGCAGGCAGGUAGUGAUAUUGCAGAUGAAAACUCUAUUAUUAUUUCAAGCUUUGUCUGAAGAGAACUAAAGCUUCCCAUGUUUUGUUAAUGGCUCUUUUCAGUUUUAGACUGUCAAUGUAUGUUUAUCUCAAGUUCAUAAUUAGAUAUAUAUUUGGGGUCUUUUUUAAAGUUUAUUUUAAAACGUUUAAAGAAUAAAAUAAACAAAUCCACACACACACACAAAUGAGAAGAGACAAGGGUACCAGAGGUGAGUUGCUGCCGGUUCGACCCGGUUCGACCAAAUCGGUAGUGCCCCGGUGCAGCUGAGAGCAAACCAGUAUGAUGGCUCUUUUGGCCCGCCUACCCACGCUCUAUGCCUGUUUUUAUGGUAAAAGGCAAAUUGCACACAAGCACACAAUGUGCAGCGCCUGUGCGAGCACUGACAAUCAGCUGUUGUCACAGGUGUGGUGGAUUGUGGAAGUGCAUACACCAUGAGUCAGGCACGCGCAUGAACAGCGAAUUGAUGGUGACGGUAAGUGAAACACACCACUGAUGGGUACAUAGAAAACAAAACAUAAGUAAAUAACAGGACAUAUGAUAAGACAAUCUUGCCUUUUGCUUCAGCUUCAAAAUCCUUUUAUUCUGGAGACAAUUAUUGUAAGAAAUGUGUAAUUAUGUAUGCAGAUAUAGCAUAUCCAGAAAUAGACAAACAACAUAGCAAGAAUUAUCUGGUGAAGCCGAAAAUUUGCCAUGCCUGAUUUCUUGAUUACCAGAAGAAUAAACAACUUUAAGUUUUUAAGACAAGUGACAGAAACUGAAACACUUAUAGUGAACCUAUAGAUCAUAUAUAAAAAUUGCUAUUAACAUAUGACUUAGAAACAGAACAAGUUAAACGAUGUAUGACAAAAUGGAUGCAUAAUUUUAAAGAAACAAUUACAGUACAAUAAUGGGAAGACUUGUAGAAAAUUCAAUAAUAUUUAUUCCAAACUAUAAUUUAAGAGAAUAUAUAAAACGUUUUACAGAUGGUAUAGGUAGUCAUUGGUUAAAUCAGUGACUAUUAGAAGCUAUAACAAGAUUGAAUAAUGAGAUUUGUAGUUGUAGUUGUCACAUCAUACCUGAUGUCAUAUGACAACCAGUGUGCAUGAUCACGUGAUCACCAUUUGUGGCCUUCACAGCCAGCUUCCCUCCCCCCCCAAAAGGGGGAGGGAAGCUAGCAGGAAGUAGCAAAUCACAGUUAAUGAUUACAGCUGCAACUCAUAAAGUUGGGCACAGUCACUUGAUUUUUCACUUUAUGACACUUAAUGGACUUGCUAGUCCCAAGUGGUUUGCAGUCAGUAAGUGAGGACUCUUUGUAUAUUAUCCUAUCCAUAAUUACAAAAAUAGACAGAAAGAAGAAACGCUUCCUACCGCUUGCUUAGGAAGUUUAUUACCAUCUGCUUUACUAUGAAUGUUUAGUAAUGCAAAUACUAAAAUGCUCUAUAUGAUAUAAUGUUAGAAUACUAUAUAUUAAUGCUAUAAAAUGCUAACAAUACAAGUAUGUGGAAAUGUUAGAAUAAUCAUUGUAUUUACAAGGCUAGAAGCUCCAGUGUUAUCAUGAUCUUAUACAGUAUGUUGGUCAUGGAUUUGGUACCCAACUGGCAUGUUGAUGUAACUUGAAAUUGCUGA